GACGUAGGGCGCGAGCGUUGUCCGGAUUUAUUGGGCGUAGAGAGCUCGUAGGCGGUUUGUUGCGUCGGCUGUGAAAACUCAGGGCUCAACUCUGAGCUUGCAGUGGGUACGGGCACACUAGAGUGCUGUAGGGGAGACUGGAAUUCCUGGUGUAGCGGUGGAAAUGCGCAGAUAUCAGGAGGAACACCGGUGGCGAAGGCGGGUCUCUGGGCAGUUACUGACGCUGAGGAGCGAAAGCAUGGGGAGCGAACAGG
rnacentral:rRNA from 1 species